CCUGGAGUUGUCUGCACCUGUGCCCACAGUCCUGCCCUCUUCUUCUGGGAACUCUCGGAGGUCAGGGAAGGAUUUUCAAGUUCUGGAGCCUCGCCCAUUUCCUGGAAGGCUCUGUCACUCUCCCCGCCACCCGCACUGUCUUUUCCCCUGGCCUCUUUAGAUCGACUAGACUCGGUCAGACCUAGUCAGGAGGACCUGAGGUUUCGGAGACCCCAGCAGCACUUCCAGGGCGUGCCAGAAAACCACAUCACCAUUUCCAGAUAAAGUUCCUUCUGGAUGGCCAGACCGCAGCCUCUGAUCCUCUCAACGCAGCACCCCCUGCCCGGGGUCCUUCCCCUCCCAGAACAUACCGUCCUCCCUCCGGGCUCGGCUCUGGUGUCUUGGCGCGCGCUCCCGGCUGAUGCAGGGAUCUGGCGCUCACCCCGGGCGGGGCCCUCGAGCGCACCUGCAAGCACCACCCUUGGCUGCACCUACAGGGCGGCCCAAGCCGCGCCCCCAGUAUGACUUCCCGCUUGCUGUCCCCAGCGUGCGCCACGUCGGGCUCUGGGUGAGGUGGGGCGGUAACCCUAGGGGUCCAGCCAGAAGGCCUCUUUCCUCUAUCUAAGACCGACCCCAUCUCCCUCGGGACUCCUGUUCUGUUACCAUCGCAGGCCUAUCCCUUGACCAGGCUGCGUCCCUGGCCCUGCGGGUCCAAGCUGAUGCUUCCAAAAGGGCGUGGGUGGGAAAACUGCCGAAUGCCGCCGCUACCUGAGGAGGGUACCCCCUUACCGUCCCGGGGACCAAGGCUGAGUGGGCCACCAGCUCCAGGCCUUUUACUCCCAGGCAGCUGGGAGGCCUGACUUCUCUCUGGUUUCUUCCUAAUACCGUUGUUGAGCAGGCAAGUUUGCCUCCGGCUGAGCCGGUUUCUUUGUAAGCUAGUUAAAGCAGUGGGUUCCAGCCUUAUUGCUUGUGUGGGUGGUCAUAAAGAUGUGUUUAAAAUAUUUCGAUUACUAUUUUAUUAGCCGGGCCUGAUGGUAAAGGGCCUGUAAUCUCAAAUGAGGUAGAAAGAUCGAAAGUGCAAGGCCAGUCUGGGUUACAGAGUAAAUUCAAGGCAUGUCUGGCAACUUAGUGAGACUUGUCUCGAAAUAAAAUGUGGGCGUGGGCACACAUAAAGAGACAUGGAUAAAGGUGGAUAAAGGCUUGGGGAUUUAGCUCAAUGUUCUAUAGCUCAGUGUUAGAAUGCUUACCUGGCACAUACAAGGUCCUGGGUUCAACUCGCAGUACAGCAAGGGGGAAGGGGCGGAGGAUCAGUACUGUUUGUCAAAAUAUUAAAUUGGAACACAUUUAGCUAUAGAUCUGCUGAUUUUUAUGGACAGCUCCACUCUACUCUAGGAUAGAAGUGGUACUGGUUGCCACCGGCCAGCCUGAAGAGACAAGACCUAUAUUAGGAGACGGAGGUCCCUGCCCUGUCUUAGCUGCAUGUGAUGUGACUAAGGAAAGGUAUUGGGGAAAGUUGCCGGAUGGUUUUGUGCACUGUGGAUUCAGAGGCCGAUUUCUGUGCCCAGAGAUCUGGUUGCAGUGGGCACUGUCAUUUCUAUGAAGACUCUCCUGUCUCAAUGUUGAGUAAAAAUUGUUCUCCAUCAUCUCUGAUUGGUUAAUAAAGAGCUGAACAGCCAAUAGCUGGGCAGGAAGAUUAGAGUUGGACUUCCGAUGAAGGUUGAGGAGAAGGAGGCCAGGAGGUGGACAUGAGGAGUUCACCAUGAGGACAGACAGAUGGAGCAGAAGCAGCUAAGAUGAUAAGUAGCAUGGGGCAUGUGGCUGGGAAGUAGCCAGGCUAGUCUAAUUGGAUUAGAAUAAAUCAAUAUCUGCCCAGCUUAGUCCCUUAAAGCCUAUUAAUAAAUGUAAUAGGUCUCUGUGUCAUUAUUUGGGAGUGGGAAUGGGAGUAGAAAAUAAAUUAUAUUAUUUUAUCAGAAAGUACUUAUGAGAAUGCUAUCAUCCUUUAGGAGAGGCUUUUAAGGUACACUGUCAGGCCUGCAGUGGGGGAAGGGAGCCCUCACAGAUAAUGUUGCAAAAAGGACUUCUUAACUCAUGUUCUGGUCACACAGAAGUUGGACUCCAGGCAGAAUCACUAGCAAUGUUACCAAUUUUGUUCUAGGUGACUUAGGUAAUCAUGUUGAAAUUCUUGGGUGUGAGCCAGAGAGAGACCAAACCAGGCAUCUGAGGGGUCUUUCCCCCUGUUCCUGAGUGUCCCUUCACUGCCCUUUCACAGGAGCUCACACCCAGGCACCGGCAGGACAGCAGGGGAUUGGACAAUCAUUAACAACUAUUUGCCUUUUUUUGUGAGGACUAUCCUGACUCAGGCAAGCUGGCAUUGGUCUUCAGGAAAAACUGGUCUCUUUUGAGAUUAUGUUGGGCUGCUUCCUUGAAGUUGUUUGAUUAUGUGGCAUUCAGCGCAAUUCACAUUGUAACUGAAACGCCAACUGUUUCAUCCUUGGUGAGCACAAAGUCAAUGAGCUCAACCAGGAAAUUAAGGUCUGAAGAUAUCAGGGCAAGUGGGUCAUGGCUAUAAUGCCAGUGUUGGGGAGGUUUAGGAAGGAGGAUGAUCAGUUUGAAGCCAACCUAGGCUACAUAGUGAGUCUCAGGUCAGCCUGGGCUACAUAGUGAGAACUUGUCUCAAAAACAAAAGCAACAGGGCUGGAAAGGUGGCUCAGUAGGUAAGGGUGCUUUCUCUGCAAGCAUGAGGGUUGAGUGCAAAUUCUCAGCUCAUGAAUAAAACGCUGGACACUGUGUGCAUCUUAAUCACAGCUUUGGGGUAAGGACACAUAACAUUGGGCCAGCUGAUGUCAUUUAUCAGUUCACAUGUCUCAGGAUCAUCAGAUGAACGAUCUGUCUCCAGAGUUUCAGCUCAGCAUGGUCACCACUGCUUGACGCAGCUCUCAACUCAAAUUGCCAAACUGCUGCAAGUCUGGACUCAGUCUGUGUAUUGCCUUCCAUAAAACAGCUUUAAAGUUGGGCACAACAUACGGGGAUUCAUUAUAAGAGUUUUCUGGGGCUGGGGAGAGGUAGGCCUUGUGCUGGUACUUUCUCAGAUCCUACUAGUUUUCUCCUCCAGGAGGGUUUGCAAGUUUUUCUGUAAAGGAUCAGAGAGCAAAUAUUUAAAGCUCUGGAUACUAGAUAGUCUCUUAAUAUGACUCAAAGCUACUAUUUUAGUAUUGUAAACAAAGGGGGACAGCUUCAUUUCAAUAAAACUUUAUUUAUAAGAACAA